GACGAACGCUGGAGGCGUGCUUAACACAUGCAAGUCGAACGAUGAACCCGGGGCUUGCUCCGGCGGAUUAGUGGCGAACGGGUGAGUAACACGUGAGUAACCUGCCCUUGACUCUGGGAUAACUGCGGGAAACUGUAGCUAAUACCGGAUACGACCCUCGGAGGCAUCUCCUGGGGGGGGAAAGAAUUUCGGUCAAGGAUGGACUCGCGGCCUAUCAGCUUGUUGGUGGGGUAAAGGCUCACCAAGGCGACGACGGGUAGCCGGCCUGGGAGGGGGACCGGCCACACUGGGACUGGACCACGGGCCAGACUCCCUAGGGGGGCAGCAGUGGGGAAUAAUGGACAAUGGGCGAGAGCCUGAUGCAGCAACGCCGCGUGAGGGAUGAAGGCCUUCGGGUUGUAAACCUCUUUUAGCAGGGAAGAAGCGAAAGUGACGGUACCUGCAGAAAAAGCACCGGCUAACUACGUGCCAGCCGCCGCCGUAA
rnacentral:rRNA from 1 species